GCUCCAGUAGCUCAGGGGAUUAGAGCAGGUGGCUUCUAUCCACCGUGUCGGGGGUUCGAAUCCCUCCUGGAGUACCA
rnacentral:tRNA from 2 species